UUGAAUUUAGUGUAGCAUGUCUGUCUGAGAUCAAUGGGGAGUGAGUUCCAAACCUUUGGUCCGUGCACAGAAAUUGCCCGCAGACCGUAGCUUGUGAGGAAGUUAUAGUUCUAACAUGUGUUGCCUAUAGGUAAAUCCGGCCCUGGUAUAAUACUAAGUUUAAUUUGAUGUAGGCCCCCCAACCUAAGACAAAGGUAACGGUAGUCGCGAGAUUGUACUUUAAAUCCUAAUUAUUUCAAAUAAAAGUGUCUCCAGGGCUACUAACUCUGAUCAAACUUCAAUUUUGUAUUGUUUAUAUUGCUCUCUUUUGGAUGACGAGUUUGCCGACCACUGGUUAGUAUAUUGUGUGUAUGUGUAUUGAGGGGUCACGGGUCAGAGUAAUUUAAGCGAUCUAUUGUGUCAUAGCAACUAAACGUCGAAGUGUGGGUCUAUCUAGUUCCGGAUGUAAAUAAUGCACAUGUCUCGGAUAAACUGGCCAAUCCCAAUCUAUUAGACCUAAUCUCGGUCAAGUUUUGACACAGAAGCCUAUUGGUCACGUGCGGUCGAAGUGAAUAGAGCUCAGUGUGUUGCCAGCAUUCAAAUGAAAUGGGACGCUCCUUUGAGGCUAAUCCUAUCUAUUGCCUAUCUCGUUAUGUCCCUUGUAUCUUAUCUUCGGUUCCAGAUCAAAACACAGAUCUCUUCUUUGUAAUAUAAAAAGGGAACAUCAUACAGAUUGCCAGAAAUUAUUACCUCUGAGAAGCAGACAGUAAAUAAAAAGGCUAAAAAAAUUGGUGUAUCAAGGACGCUGGCAUUCUUUAAGGCAAGAAGUCAUUGACAAAGAUCAAUGUCUAGUUAACAGAUGAUUAGAACCAUCACUUGUGAGGAACUGCAGAAGUUAAAACAUGUGUAAAGUGUUAUGCUACAAAGUGUUAUUUAAGGCAA